rnacentral:piRNA from 1 species
UGAAUUUGAAAAUGACAGAAA